CCUACGGGAGGCAGCAGUGGGGAAUUUUUCGCAAUGGGGGAAACCCUGACGAAGCAACGCCGCGUGGAGGAUGAAGGCCUUCGGGUCGUAAACUCCUGUCGACCGGGAAGAAUGCACCCGACCUAACACGUCGGCGUGUUGACUGUACCGGUGGAGGAAGCCACGGCUAACUCUGUGCCAGCAGCCGCGGUAAUACAGAGGUGGCAAGCGUUGUUCGGAAUUACUGGGCGUAAAGGGCGCGUAGGCGGCCCGCCAAGUCCCGUGUGAAAGCCCCCGGCUCAACCGGGGAACGGCGCGGGAAACUAGCAGGCUUGAGUUCGGGAGAGGGAAGCGGAAUUCAGGGUGUAGCGGUGAAAUGCGCAGAUAUCCUGAGGAACACCGGUGGCGAAGGCGGCUUCCUGGACCGACACUGACGCUGAGGCGCGAAAGCUAGGGGAGCAAACGGGAUUAGAUACCCCGGUAGUCCUAGCCCUAAACGAUGAGCACUGGGUGUAGAGGGUAUGAACCCCUUCUGUGCCGAAGCUAACGCAUUAAGUGCUCCGCCUGGGGAGUACGGUCGCAAGGCUGAAACUCAAAGGAAUGACGG
rnacentral:rRNA from 1 species